CCUACGGGAGGCAGCAGUGGGGAAUAUUGGGCAAUGGAGGAAACUCUGACCCAGCGACGCCGCGUGCGGGAUGAAGGCCUUCGGGUUGUAAACCGCUUUCAGUAGGGAAGAAGCGAAAGUGACGGUACCUACAAAAGAAGCACCGGCUAACUAUGUGCCAGCAGCCGCGGUAAUACAUAGGGUGCAAGCGUUGUCCGGAAUUAUUGGGCGUAAAGAGCUCGUAGGUCGUUUGUUACGUCGGAUGUGAAAACCUGAGGCUCAACCUCAGGCCUGCAUUCGAUACGGGCAAACUAGAGUUUGGUAGGGGAGACUGGAAUUCCUGGUGUAGCGGUGGAAUGCGCAGAUAUCAGGAGGAACACCAAUGGCGAAGGCAGGUCUCUGGGCCAAUACUGACACUGAGGAGCGAAAGUCUGGGGAGCGAACAGGAUUAGAUACCCUGGUAGUCCAGACCGUAAACGGUGGGCACUAGUUGUGGGAACCUUCCACGGUUUCUGCGACGCAGCUAACGCAUUAAGUGCCCCGCCUGGGGAGUACGAUCGCAAGAUUAAACNCGAAAGGAAUUGAACGGUNUGAGAGUGCGAGACGACGACGAGGAGGAGG
rnacentral:rRNA from 1 species